AAGUGUUAUAGCUCUUUUAGAACUUGUCUAGGUUUGCUGGUUUUCACUGGAAAACACUC
ensembl:snRNA U7 U7 small nuclear RNA